GUCGAGGGGUAAUGGGAGCUUGCUUCCAUGAGACCGGCGCACGGGUGCGUAACGCGUAUGCAAUCUGCCUUUUACAGGGGAAUAGCCCAGAGAAAUUUGGAUUAAUGCCCCAUGGUAUAUUUGAGUGGCAUCACUUGAUUAUUAAAGAUUUAUCGGUAAAAGAUGAGCAUGCGUCCCAUUAGCUAGUUGGUAAGGUAACGGCUUACCAAGGCUACGAUGGGUAGGGGUCCUGAGAGGGAGAUCCCCCACACUGGUACUGAGACACGGACCAGACUCCUACGGGAGGCAGCAGUGAGGAAUAUUGGACAAUGGGCGCAAGCCUGAUCCAGCCAUGCCGCGUGCAGGAUGAAGCAUCUAUGGUGUGUAAACUGCUUUUAUACGGGAAGAAACCCUGGCUCGUGAGCCAGACUGACGGUACCGUAAGAAUAAGGAUCGGCUAACUCCGUGCCAGCAGCCGCG
rnacentral:rRNA from 1 species